CCUUGGUCCAAAAAAAUGAAAAUGAGGUCAAGGUCAAAGGUCAAGGUCAUAUUCUAAAUUUUGAUUUUGGCUUAUUUUCACUUAUUUUCAAAUACCGUAUGACAUAUCGACAAAUAAUUUUUCAUAAAUUGUUAGUUGCGACAUGUCCUUACUUGUAUAUUUUGGUUGAAAGGGUGCGCAUACAAUAAAUGGGAGUUUUUGUCCAUCUUACAUUUAGAAUUACGCGUAAAGUGGUAUUACUCAUUAACCAAACAUAUUAAAGACCUAGGGUCUUUUGAUUUAAGGUCCUUGGUUUGUGACCUUGAAAUUGAGGUCAAGGUCAUAGGUUAAUAGGACGUUCUAGAUUUUGACCUUUGCUUUAAAUUCAUAUAAAUACAUCAUAAAGCCAUAGGAACUAACAUUUUAAACUGAUUUUUCAUAUUUCAAUAUCAAAAUAGAUCUUUACUAGUGGAAAGACCUUCAAUUGUUCUCUGAACAAUUGGUUUUUAAUUAUUUUUUUUUUUUUUUUUUUUCUUCCGCCUAAAUUUUUUUCUUGCGUAGUAUUGUUGUUUCAAAAGAUGUCGCUUAGAUAUUUGGAAUAUGAUGUCGUAUAGUUUAUACGCUUUUAAAAAUUUACAACUGCGUAACAAAAAUACUUUACGUUGUAAGAGUUAUCUCCCCAAACACUGUUUUUCUUGUGGCCACUACUCCUUCGCAACCGUAAAAGAUUACGACAAAUUUAUUUUACCAAAUUGCUCGUUACAUCUUCAGGAUUAGGAUAUUCAUUUGGACCGAAGCUAUCCGGAGACUCCAUAUGAGAGUUAUUCCCCCUUUUGCAUUUGAUAUAAGUGAUAUGCGUUUCUAACUGGUAAACCAUAAGUGAUAUAGGCCUAGGGUCUUUGGAUUUAAGUUCCUUGGUCCAAAAAAAAUGAAAAUAAGGUCAAGGUCAAAGGUCAAGGUCAUAUUCUAAAUUUUGAUUUUGGCUUAUUUUCUCUUAUUUUCAACAACCGUGAAAGAUAUUGACAAAUUAUUUUUACUAAAUUGUGAGUUGCGACAUGUUGUAACUUAUAAAUUUUGGUUGGAAAGGGUGCGUAAAC
rnacentral:lncRNA from 1 species